CGAAUGCUGACGUGAGUAACGACAAAACGGGUGAAAAACCCGUUCGCCGAAAGACCAAGGGUUCCAGUCCAACGUUAAUCGGGGCUGGGUGAGUCGACCCCUAAGGCGAGGCCGAAAGGCGUAGUCGAUGGGAAAAUGGUUAAUAUUCCAUUACUUCUGUGUAAUGCGAUGAGAGGACGGAGAAGGCUAAAUCAGCCUGGCGUUGGUUGUCCAGGUGAAAGGAUGUAGGCAUGUAUCUUAGGCAAAUCCGGGGUACUCUAUGCUGAGAU
rnacentral:rRNA from 1 species